rnacentral:rRNA from 1 species
UGCAGGGUAUAGACCCGAAACCCGGUGAUCUAGCCAUGGGCAGGUUGAAGGUUGGGUAACACUAACUGGAGGACCGAACCGACUAAUGUUGAAAAAUUAGCGGAUGACUUGUGGCUGGGGGUGAAAGGCCAAUCAAACCGGGAGAUAGCUGGUUCUCCCCGAAAGCUAUUUAGGUAGCGCCUCGUGAAUUCAUCUCCGGGGGUAGAGCACUGUUUCGGCAAGGGGGUCAUCCCGACUUACCAACCCGAUGCAAACUGCGAAUACCGGAGAAUGUUAUCACGGGAGACACACGGCGGGUGCUAACGUCCGUCGUGAAGAGGGAAACAACCCAGACCGCCAGCUAAGGUCCCAAAGUCAUGGUUAAGUGGGAAACGAUGUGGGAAGGCCCAGACAGCCAGGAUGUUGGCUUAGAAGCAGCCAUCAUUUAAAGAAAGCGUAAUAGCUCACUGGUCGAGUCGGCCUGCGCGGAAGAUGUAACGGGGCUAAACCAUGCACCGAAGCUGCGGCAGCGACGCUGAUGCGUUGUUGGGUAGGGGAGCGUUCUGUAAGCCUGCGAAGGUGUGCUGUGAGGCAUGCUGGAGGUAUCAGAAGUGCGAAUGCUGACAUAAGUAACGAUAAAGCGGGUGAAAAGCCCGCUCGCCGGAAGACCAAGGGUUCCUGUCCAACGUUAAUCGGGGCAGGGUGAGUCG